AUUGAACGCUGGCGGCAGGCCUAAUACAUGCAAGUCGAGCGAGCGGCGGACGGGAGAGUAACGUAUGGGGCCUUGCUCUAUAGCUGGGGUUAACUCCUGGAAACGGUGGCUAAUCCCGCAUACUAUCGGCUGAACCCUUGUGGGAUUAGCUAGUAGGUGGGGUAAAGGCUCACCAAGGCGACGAUCGCUAGCUGGUCGGAGAGGAUGAUCGGCCACACUGGAACUGAGACACGGCCCAGACUCCUACGGGAGGCAGCAGUGGGGAAUAUUGCGCAAUGGGCGCAAGCCUGAUGCAGCCAUGCCGCGUGAAUGAAGAAGGCCUUAGGAUUGUAAAGUACUGUCAGCAGGGAAGCGUUACCCGCAGAAGAAGCACCGGCUAACUCCGUGCCAGCAGCCGCGGUAAUAC
rnacentral:rRNA from 1 species